rnacentral:rRNA from 1 species
UCCCGGCACGGGGAGGUAGUGACAAAAAAUAACGAUACGGGACUCUAUUGAGGCCCCGUAAUCGGAAUGAGUACACUUUAAAUCCUUUAACAAGGAUCCAUUGGAGGGCAAGUCUGGUGCCAGCAGCCGCGGUAAUUCCAGCUCCAAUAGCGUAUAUUAAAGUUGUUGCGGUUAAAAAGCUCGUAGUUGGUUCUGCGUGCCGCGCUGUCGGUUCGCCGCCUGUCGGUGUAACUGGCAUGUCGCGGCAUGUCCUGUCGGUGGUGAACGGGAUUCCCGGUGCUUCAUCGUCUUAACAGUCGGUGUUUGUGCUGUGCGAAGUUCGUUUGCCGAUCUCUCCUACUCCGGUGCUCUUAAACGAGUGUCGAGGUAGGCCGACACGUUCACUUUGAACAAAUUAGAGUGCUUAAAGCAGGCUGAAAUAUCUGCCUGAAUAGUGGUGCAUGGAAUGAUAAAAUAGGACCUCGGUUCUAUUUUGUUGGUUUUAGGAAUGUGAGGUAAUGAUCAAUGUGGACUGGCGGGGGCAUUCGUAUUGCGACGUUAGAGGUGAAAUUCUUGGAUCGUCGCAAGACGCACUAAAGCGAAAGCAUUUGCCAAGUAUGUCUUAAUUGAUCAAGAACGAAAGUUAGAGGUUCGAAGGCGAUCAGAUACCGCCCUAGUUCUAACCAUAAACGAUGUCAGCCAGCGAUCCGCCGAUGUUCCAUUAAUGACUCGGCGGGGAGCUUCCACCCGGGAAACCAAAGCUUCUGGGUUCCGGGGGAAGUAUGGUUGCAAAGCUGAAACUUAAAGGAAUUGACGGAAGGGCACCACCAGGAGUGGAGCCUGCGGCUUAAUUUGACUCACG